UGGAUCCAGACUUUGAUUCUGGCUCAGGAUGAACGCUAGCUACAGGCUUAACACAUGCAAGUCGAGGGGAAACGACAUCGAAAGCUUGCUUUUGAUGGGCGUCGACCGGCGCACGGGUGAGUAACGCGUAUCCAACCUGCCCACCACUUGGGGAUAACCUUGCGAAAGUAAGACUAAUACCCAAUGAUAUCUCUAGAAGACAUCUGAAAGAGAUUAAAGAUUUAUCGGUGAUGGAUGGGGAUGCGUCUGAUUAGCUUGUUGGCGGGGUAACGGCCCACCAAGGCAACGAUCAGUAGGGGUUCUGAGAGGAAGGUCCCCCACAUUGGAACUGAGACACGGUCCAAACUCCUACGGGAGGCAGCAGUGAGGAAUAUUGGUCAAUGGACGAGAGUCUGAACCAGCCAAGUAGCGUGCAGGAUGACGGCCCUAUGGGUUGUAAACUGCUUUUAUAAGGGAAUAAAGUGAGUCUCGUGAGACUUUUUGCAUGUACCUUAUGAAUAAGGACCGGCUAAUCCCGUGCCAGCAGCCGCGGUAAUACGGAAGGUCCGGGCGUUAUCCGGAUUUAUUGGGUUUAAAGGGAGCGUAGGCCGGAGAUUAAGCGUGUUGUGAAAUGUAGACGCUCAACGUCUGCACUGCAGCGCGAACUGGUUUCCUUGAGUACGCACAAAGUGGGCGGAAUUCGUGGUGUAGCGGUGAAAUGCUUAGAUAUCACGAAGAACUCCGAUUGCGAAGGCAGCUCACUGGAGCGCAACUGACGCUGAAGCUCGAAAGUGCGGGUAUCGAACAGGAUUAGAUACCCUGGUAGUCCGCACGGUAAACGAUGGAUGCCCGCUGUUGGUCUGAAUAGGUCAGCGGCCAAGCGAAAGCAUUAAGCAUCC
rnacentral:rRNA from 1 species